UGACUUCUACCUGUUCCAAAG
rnacentral:miRNA from 1 species